AUAAUUAAUUUUAUGCAUUUGUGUUUUGUGACUUUUGUCUAGUAGCUUACUUGAUGAAAUGUUGGAUUUGAUAGUUGAUCAGUAUACUGUUGUACUUUCCCUUUUGAGUUAGAUUCUUGUUUGUUUGGUGAUUGUAGAUAUUAUUUUAUUUUUUCAGUAAUGACUUUCCUCUUACUGUUGUUAUUGGAGUACUUGUAUCUGUAAUUCUGUAUUGAUUUCGAGAUUGGAAGGGUUUAUCUCUCAUAAUUUUACUAUGUAAUCUAGAUUUUUCGACAUCUAAUUAUAUUCGGCAUGCUAUUGAUUAUGUUCUUGGUUGUCAAGGACUUCAAAUUGGAAUGAGUAUAUAUGGCAGAAUGAAUGGGAACUAAAGUGCACUGUGAAAGCUACACGCCCGGGUAUUACUCCAUUAGGGAUAUGAAUGAGGAUUUAAGUACUAGUAUUUGGUCUCCAUUUCACGGAGAUAAGAACUUGCUUAAUGGACAUUACUGUGAAGGCUUCAUGCAGAGGACGGUAAGAGACAGAUAUCCAGAAAAUGAGAAGGAUGUUCUAAAAGUGAAGAUGAUUGAGCAUGAUACGGUAUUCAAAAACCAGGUAUAUGAACUUCAUCGCAUUUAUAGAGUGCAGAGGGAAAUGAUGGAAGAAGCCCGAAGGAAGGAACUAUAUAAUCACCAUCGAUCAGUUGAGACCUCGUUAUCAUCCAGCAUCUUACCAUCUCAAAGGCCAUUCGAUGAAGUCAGGAAUUGGCAAACGCCUAGCUUUCCAUUAGCUAAACCUAGUUGCGCCAGACCCUCCAUACUGGGAUCUGAAGUCAUUGAAUUACCUUCGAGUUGCAUGAAAUUGAAAGGACAUAACAGUGAAGCUGAUCUAGUUCCAUACCGCAACAAAUGUGAUCAAAAGGAUCUUGUUUGUUUAGACUCUAGGUCAUUAAAGGUUAAGAAAAGUUUGUUUAAUCAUCAAAUCUCAGCUGACAAAUAUGCAACAGAAAGAGAAGAGCAUUUCCAGGAUAUUGAGAUGUCAAGUGCUAGAAUUUAUCCUACCAGUAGCGAUCAUAGACUCUCACAGGGAAAUAGUACAGGAAAAUAUACUGGUGGUGGGAAGACUAAUGACCUGGGAGAUACUUUAUCUGAUUUAAGUCCGAAGAUCCCUAUGUUAGCUGACCUUAAUGAACCAGUUCAGGUUGAGGGAAACAAUUUACCUGAAAUUGUCGAUGUUUCUGGUCGUUCUGCGAGCUAUGGAGAUAUUAAAGGCCUCAAUUUCACUGCUAAAUCGAAGUCACAAUUUAUUGAUUUAUCCCGAGACCUUUCACACAAUUCCAAGGGUGGGAGAAGUAAUGGGAAUUUUGUUGAUUUAUCUGAAACAAAUAAAGGCACCAGGAGAGGGUGGUUAUCCUGUAUGUAUGAAGCAGGGAACCGUGGAGCUGAUGCGAAUUUUGUGCCCACAUUUUACCAAUCAGAGCAGUUGCCUACACCUUCCCCGCAAAUGCCGUUUAUGCCUGGCCAGCCUAAUCUACAUCAGGGAAUUCUUCCAACUGAUCAUGCGAAGGAAGAAACAAGGACAGAGAGAAAUCUUAGUUACGAGUUAUCUAAUAGAAGUUGCGGCCGCUCUAAUUACAACCCUUCAGAAUCAGUUGUGACCUCCCAUAUCUCCAAAUCCCAUCAGUGGCAUAAUUCUUCUAAUGUUGCCAAUUCUUGGUCACACUCUGUCACAUCUUGGGAAAAACCUAAAUCUAUCUCGACUGAGAAGGUGACUUCACCAUAUGCCAGGCCAUCUAAAACCUCAAAUGGGGAUAUAAAUGGUAGUUCGAGGUUGAACCCUAGUCUGGGAAGCAAACUUCCUAUGCAGAAUGAAAUGUGCCUAGGCUCCUCAUUGGUUUCCACGGGCCUAUCAACAAAAGCAUCAUCAUUUGGUUAUGCUAGUCUGAAAUGCAAUGAGAUUGAUGCUGUACCAUCAAAGCACUUGACAGGCCAUGGUUUAAAAAAUGUCUUGAGAGAAUCAGAUAUCAAAAAUUUGAAGCCUGUGAAGGGUUUGGACUUAAAUGCCGUCCUCCCAAUUGAAUCAUCUGACGAGGAAACUUUACCUCAAAGUAAUGAAAUUUUAGAUGGAAAAAGGAAGUAUAGAGACCCUAAUCCGGAUUUGCCAUGGUUACGAGGGAAGCCGAUGUGUAACGUUGUGUCCACCAUAACAAGGAACAAAUUAGAUUCGGGUUUACCGGAGGCUUCAUAUAAUCAAUUGCUUAAAGAUGAAACAGUGAAAGACUCUAAUUCUCUACCAAUUGCUGCUUCGAAUAGUUGUCAUGUUAGGGUGGACAGGGGCUCUGCUUCAGCUGCUGUAAACAAUGGUAAAUUACUUGGAUUCCCCGUAUUCGGAAACUUUUGUACCUUAAAGAAUGACUCUGCAUCAGUUCAAAGUUCCUGUAAUAAUGUCAGCACAAAAACUAAAGGAAAUUAUAGAGGAUUUGAUAUUAAUGUAGCUUGUAAUUUGGUGGACGAGGAGUUCAAUAAACAGAUUGGUGAAGAAGCUAUUUUAUCAGAAAAGGGAAAUGAUACAAAAGUCAACAACUUCAGGAACAUUGAUUUGAACUCUUGUGUAAGCGAAGAUGAAGAUAUAUUAGUGUCUUCUCACGCGAGCACCAGUGGGAAGGUCAAGAUUGCAUUUGAGAUAGAUCUGGAAGCGCCUGCUGUUCAGAACACUGCAGAUGCUCUUUUCCCUGUAGAAGAACAAAAACUACCUGAGGGGUCCCUGCAAUCAAAACUUCACAAAACUGAGCAGCAAAAGGAUCAAGCUGUAAAAUAUGCAGCGGAAACAAUAGUUGCCAUCUCCUCUUACAGUCGAGAUCCUCAUAUUGAAUGUACUAAGUUAGACCGUUCUGAAUUGCCGGACUCCCUCACAUGGUUUGCAGAUGUAAUUUCUUCUUCGGCUGAAGAACUUGAAAGGAAGCUUUGCAAAGAUUAUGAAGGCAGAAAUUGUAGAGAAAUUGAGGCGCCCAGGGAAUUGGAUGAUUACGAGGUCAUGACACUGCAACUAACAGAGACCCGGGAAGAAGACUACAUGCCUGAGCCUUUUGUACCUGAAAUCCCCAACUUGGAAGUAGGGGCCACUUCAGUACCUAGUCGAACACGAAAGGGCCCUGCAAGGAGAGGGAGGAUACGGAAGGACUUCCAAAGGGAUGUCCUUCCAGGUCUCGUCUCUUUGUCAAGACAUGAGGUGACAGAAGAUCUUCAGACAUUUGGAGGACUAAUGAGAGCUACUGGACAUCAAUGGAAUGGAGGAACAACAAGAAGGAACGGCACUAGAGGAAGGAGAAGAUGCAUUGUUGAUCCCUCCCCUUCCGUUGUUGUGGCUCCAGUCUGCAAUCCACUAUUGCCUAACUUUAAUGGUAUUGAAGCUAGAGUAGAGGAUGUGAGCUUAACUGGGUGGGGAAAAACAACUAGACGUCCACGACGGCAAAGAAGUGCUGCAACUAACAAUCCGGCAGUUGCAAUGACAUAAUUUUGAGUUCAGAAUAUCUUACUUUAUGUUCAUGCCUUUACAGAGAAAGUUUCUACAGGAGAUUCAUAUCUUCAUCGUUUGAAUGCCCAAUCGGGGUUUUCUUCUCAGCUUAAACAACUAUCGUUUUCAUGGAACAAGACAAUAACCAGCAGCUACCUGAGAUCUACCAGAAACGGUCCUUGUUGACACUCAGGUAACCGGCCAUUACUUUCCCUCCUGUAUUCCGCAUGCCGUCAAUGAGGAAGCACCAUGUGGAACCUAAUGCGCCAAUGAAAAAGUCGGAUUCUGCAGCCAUCAAGAAAUUAACUAAAGGGUAGUUGGUGCUGAUUUGUCGGCCAAGACUUGCUUCAUAUGUUGCCAU